rnacentral:lncRNA from 1 species
AGAAAGAGAAGAAAAUCUCUCGAUUGGAAAAAAAACAAAAAAGGAAGAGGAAUAAAAUAGAAGAGAUAGUGCAAAAACUUCCAUUUUUUUCGAAAUAAAAAAAUGAUAAAAAUUAAAAUAAACAAUCAAAUUAACAAAAAAUAAAGUUAAAAUUAAUAACUAUCUUUAACUCCAAACAAAUAAAAGGUGCAAAAAUAAUUUCUCACAACACACCUGAAGACUCGAACCUAAGACCCC